UACGGGGGGGGCAAGCGUUGUUCGGAAUUACUGGGCGUAAAGGGCUCGUAGGCGGCCAACUAAGUCAGACGUGAAAUCCCUCGGCUUAACCGGGGAACUGCGUCUGAUACUGGAUGGCUUGAGGUUGGGAGAGGGAUGCGGAAUUCCAGGUGUAGCGGUGAAAUGCGUAGAUAUCAGGAGGAACACCAAUUGCGAAGGCAGCUCGCUGGGACGUUACUGACGCUGAGACGCGAAAGCGUGGGGAGCAAACAGG
rnacentral:rRNA from 1 species